rnacentral:rRNA from 1 species
UGGGGAAUAUUGCACAAUGGGCGCAAGCCUGAUGCAGCCAUGCCGCGUGUAUGAAGAAGGCCUUCGGGUUGUAAAGUACUUUCAGCGGGGAGGAAGGGAGUAAAGUUAAUACCUUUGCUCAUUGACGUUACCCGCAGAAGAAGCACCGGCUAACUCCGUGCCAGCAGCCGCGGUAAUACGGAGGGUGCAAGCGUUAAUCGGAAUUACUGGGCGUAAAGCGCACGCAGGCGGUUUGUUAAGUCAGAUGUGAAAUCCCCGGACUCAACCUGGGAACUGCAUCUGAUACUGGCAAGCUUGAGUCUCGUAGAGGGGGGUAGAAUUCCAGGUGUAGCGGUGAAAUGCGUAGAGAUCUGGAGGAAUACCGGUGGCGAAGGCGGCCCCCUGGACAAAGACUGACGCUCAGGUGCGAAAGCGUGGGGAGCAAACAGG